rnacentral:lncRNA from 1 species
GGGGACCUGCUGUUCAGUCUCCUGAUGUCCAGGGACUUGUGUGGUCUCCACUGAGGCAAAAAACCGGGGCAGACGGGUGGCUGAGGCCACGGCCACAAGGCAGGGUUGAGGUUCACAUUUUGAAGACCGUGGGGCACAGAACUGCUGUAGAGAUGGGAGCAAAGCUGGACCCUCAGUCCCAAAGGCCAGCGAGCAGGCACCAGCUCCGCAAUCGGGAAGAAGGAAACAGACCUUCAGGAAAUGGAAGUCUUAGGCAUCCCUGCCGCCUCGGCUCUCCUCCCUCAGCAUAUAAAUCAGCCUGAACCCUGCCGCUGUGCUCUUCAGACACUGUGUCAUCUGCUUCCGGUGCAGAACACAGGGAGACGGCUGGCAUGCCUGGGGAGUGGCUGGCCCUGCUCUGCAGAUGCCCGAGACAAUGCACGCCAGUUAUUUUCCUCAGCUCUUCCCAGCACCGGGAUCAGGGGGCUGGCCAGGCCCUUCUGUCUCCGUCUGAAGAUGCGGAUCUGUGGGCUGAAGUGGCGCCCUGCCUCCCUGGCUGCGGGCAGUGCAGACAGAACCAUCUGGAGGCCGAGUGAGGAGCUGCCAGGGCCUGGGUGCUCAGCCCAGGCCGGGCUGCAUGCAGCCCUGUCCAGCCAGCCAGAUGAGGGCGGGAGAAGCUGAGGGCCUCUGCUUCAUGAACGUGCCUAGAUGUCACACAGCCCGGUUAGAGAGGACAGCGCUCUGCGGAACGAACAACUCAGCACUUCCUGCUCUUCCCACGGCUGGACAGUGUUAGGCUCAGGUUCCCCCAUGAUACCUGAGAAUCACUGCUUGCUUUUGCAAGGAUCAGUAAGUAUCAGUUGCUUUGCAAUAAUGAAAUGAGACCAAGUCUUUGGAGCUCAGCUGGAGAGCAUCAGGGAGAUCUCUCCCACACUGGUGAAGUAAGAAGUGGCUGCCAGAAACGUGCUGGGCCAGAUGCAGAGACACUGGUGACCUUCACCUCAGG